GGUGGCUCCUGGGGAGCUCUGGGUAGAGUUUAGAGCCAGUAAGUUAAGUCUCUGGCUGGCAAGGGUUGCAGGGGAAGCUAAAAUGUUACACUGUAGACAAAUGUUUACGCUUGCUCGUUGGAAAAGUAGAAAAUACCUGGCAGAGAACUAAGACCACCACAAGGCCUCACGUACCCAAGUUGUCUGGAAGUAUCUCUAUGCAGAAGGAAUAUUGUCCCGGUAAAGGGACAGCCUUAAAAGUAACUGUGGCUCAUCAUCCUGGAAGGAUCGACUCUCCGCUGCUAAGAGGCUUCGGUCAAGACUCUGAGAUCCCGCUGAGAUGGCUCAGAGGUAAAGAGCACUGGCUGCUCUUUCAGAGGAGUUGGAUCCGAUUCCCAGCACCCGCAUGGUAGCUCCCGACCAACUAUAACUCCAGUUCCAGACAGGGGUAUCUUGUAGCCAUCCAGCGGCCACAUGAAGCUGCUGUCCAGCUGUGGAAAUGUCACCACACCAAGGGACCCUGACACAUUACCAGAUUCCCAUCUCACCGCAUGAUUCAGCCUCACCAAGACACUAGACACACACAGUGCUUCUACCAAGGGUGUUCUGGAAGCAAUUUGGUCACCCGCCAAAGUGAUGACCAAGAUCUCCCUGUUUAGACAUCAAAGCAAUGACAACAGCAGUGUUUAACACAGGUUGGGCACCUAGCAAUUUCUUGGUCAUACAUUAAAUGAAAUAUGUUGCAAAGC